rnacentral:rRNA from 1 species
UACGGGGGGGGGCAAGCGUUGUUCGGAAUUACUGGGCGUAAAGGGCGCGUAGGCGGUUUGCUAAGUUGGACGUGAAAACUCUGGGCUUAACCCAGAGCCUGCAUCCAAAACUGGCAAGCUAGAGUUUUGGAGGGGGAAGCGGAAUUCCUGGUGUAGCGGUGAAAUGCGCAGAUAUCAGGAGGAACACCGGUGGCGAAGGCGGCUCUCUGGGCCUUACCUGACGCUGAGGAGCGAAAGCGUGGGUAGCGAACAGG